ensembl:lncRNA
CAGGAAGUGUAACUAGGAGCAAGUUAUUGCUUUGCUUUUACGAUUGAAAUUUUAAUAGUUAAAACGAUAAAAGUUGUUAAUAGGACGUUGUUGAAGUUACGAAAUUCACACGUACCUGAAUUAUGACAGCAUAGGUGUGGAAAUAUAGUAAAAGGGCUGGUGCACAAUGAGUCUCCUUGCUUGAAGAAAGAAAUAGGGCCUGUCCAGUCUCUUCUGACUCUCUGAUUGGAUCUUUGAGGUGGUUUCUUAAAUUCCUCUGCCCUUUUGAAAGACUCUUCUCCUGCAUUUUCCUCUGCCUUGUAAAUGUUACCAAAGUGGCUCAUGCAAAAGAAACGAGUGAAGAGCAAAUCGGCAGAUCUAGUGAUACUGGUAAAUGGGAAUGAAUGAAAGAUCAAGUUGCGGAGACCGGAGAGGGCCACUGCUACAAUAACACCAGGCUACCAGCAACCAAAGCAGGUUGGAGAAGAUCAGCUUCCAAGUAGACACAGCUGCUGCCACUGCUUUGUUUAGCCAUAGUAAGGACACAUUUCAGCAGAAGCAAAUUCACAACAACGCCAAGGAGUGAUUGAGAAAGCUGUGAAUGAAAUAUGUUCAUGUUAAAAAUGAUCUGUUUGCCAAUUAAUAGCAUGUUUUGAAAUUCAAAAAGCUGGCAGGAAGUCUGAACAAAUUUGUUUACUUAAGCCAUGUAACUGCAUGCAGUGCCAUUGCUUUACCCCUGAAAUGUUCAUCUGCAAUUGAUUCACAUUAUGGCAUUUUUUAUGUAGUGGGAUAAUAGGAAUACAAUACAGGUAAUGUCAUGAAGAACUAAACUGCAUUGUCCUACUUGCUCACAAAAGAAGAUGGGACUUAGAUCAACAGGAAAUUGUUUUAUUAACUGUAAAACAGUCAGUGUUGGUGAUUUACCUGGCAUGAUGAGUUAUACGUGCUCCUGAUCUUUCUAAUGACUGGACUCCUGAUGAGAGUGAAAGGACCGCUGAAACCUCCUGUCUGUUAAAGCAACACAUAAUGGCAUUGUCAUAUAAUUUCUCAAGGAAAGUGGUUGCUGUCCAGUUCCACCAAUCGUCAUGUUUUUGGAUGGAGUGAAAUUAAUUUUGCGGAUUCUUGUUUGUAAGAAAAUGUUGUUAGCACUUGUAGUAAUAAUAUAAUUUCAUGUUAUAGUUAUUUAAGAAUGUCUGGUAUUUACUUUGGGAAAUGAGUUUUGAU